CCUAGGGUGGUAGCAGUGGGGAAGAGUGGGCAAGGGGCGUAAGCCGGACCCAGUAACGACGUGUGAAGGAAGAAGGCUUUCGGGUUGUAAACUUCUUUUGUCAGGGACGAAGCAAGUGACGGUACCUGACGAAUAAGCCACGGCUAACUACGUGCCAGCAGCCGCGGUAAUACGUAGGUGGCAAGCGUUAUCCGGAUUUAUUGGGUGUAAAGGGCGUGUAGGCGGGAAUGCAAGUCAGAUGUGAAAACUAUGGGCUCAACCCAUAGCCUGCAUUUGAAACUGUAUUUCUUGAGUGCUGGAGAGGCAAUCGGAAUUCCGUGUGUAGCGGUGAAAUGCGUAGAUAUACGGAGGAACACCAGUGGCGAAGGCGGAUUGCUGGACAGUAACUGACGCUGAGGCGCGAAAGCGUGGGGAGCAAACAGGAUUAGAUACCCCGGUAGUC
rnacentral:rRNA from 1 species